UCCUCCUUUCCCCUUUCACACCUCCCCUCAUCUCUCCCUCGUCAACACAGCCGUGACUCCGUCCUCCCUUCCUCUUCACCAUGGAAAACCACCUCCCAGGCGUCGCCAGCAGGAGAGGAGCCGGCUCCGCUCUCCUACGCACCCACACAAACAUCGUCGCCUUGGGUGAGGAGUUCGUGGGAGGAGAAGCCGAGAAGGCCAGGGGGUGGGAGGAGGAGGAAGAGGAGGAGGAGGAGUUAGUUCAGCAGAUCAGCAGCGGCGGUGCCGGGAGAGGAAGGGCCAUGGCGGCGGCGGCUUUCGGACUACGCAUUGAGCGGUGUCUCUCCGUGCCGCCGGUACGGCAAGCCCAUGGAGAAGCGCGGUCACCCCGGUACAUGGCCGUCUUCCAUCUCCAUCUGCUGCUCCCCACUCCUGCCGUCCCAUGGCCUGCGUCGCCGCUGCUUGGCUGUUCCCACCUGCUGAUACUACUCGGAUCCCUUGGCUAUUCAGGUGAUUUGAGUCAUCCCUACCUUGUGCAUGUUGUGUUUGAUAAAAUGUCCAUGAGCUAAUGGGUUGUUGAUCCUGUGUUUCUUGUCCUCUUCUCCUUGAUUACCACUUCCUGUCUUCACAUCUUUGCAAAGUUUCCUGAAUGGACUCAAGAGUUAAGACUGUUGAGUUAGUAAUCAAUCUCAUGCAGGCAUCUUUCCAUCGGGAGAUCCGUGAAUAAAAGCGGCCUUUCUGGGAUUGUCAAGGUAUUCACUAAUAGAGAGUUGCAUCCAAAAAUAAAGUAGCUAAAGCUUUUUCGAAAAUCAGGGGCCUCCCCCCGGCUCCAUUUUUUAAUGAAGAAAGAGAAGCCAUACGAGUACCACAACAACGAAAGCUAAAACAGACUCUGAACCUAAACUGGGGGUAAAACAGUUCACUGCACGCCUUAUUACAGACCAAAAAACCAGAAUCUCAGUGGCUAAAGCUUCGGUUCGCUAAAAAUUUACAUGGUUGAUUAACAGCAGCUUACCUUAACAGGCGGUGUUCAAACCUGGUGGUAAAGACCUACAAAAAGUUUGAGGUGGAAAUUUACGUCCUUGCCAAGGAUGAAGGUGGUCGCCACACUGCCUUCUUCUCAAAUUACAACCCAUAGUUCUACUUCAGGACAGCUGACAUAUGUGGGAAAAUUGAGUUUCCUCCGGACGUGAAGAUUGUUAUGCCUGGUGACAACGGCUAAGAUUUGCGCUGAGGGAAGGAGGGAGGACCGUCGGCUCCGGAGUCAUUGCCGAAGUCAUGAGCUAAUAACAAAUGUUCCAGACCUUUCUCUUUUUACUUCUCAGUUAAUUCUAUGAUUUUUUUCUAAGGAUUACAAUGCUGCGAAUCAAAUGUCCACCGUAGGAAAAACAAAUUAAGGUUCUAAAUCCUACAAUUUUUUAAAAUAAAAUUUCUACGAAUCAAAGGAGCCGGUAGAGUAGAAGCAUGCAACACACUAGCUACUUUUGCGUUUGAAGUAUGAGUACGGACAGAAGCAUCCCUUCGACUUAUUAGUGCGUCUCCAACGUCUUGCCGUAAAACGUCCAGGCCGACGCGUUCGGACGCACUUUGCCAUCCAACGUGGACCGUAUUUCGUUCGUUUUCCCACAAACUGGAAGCAAACCUGGGGAGACUGUGUGGGAGUCUAGAUCUCAUUGAAUCAAUAUUUAAGUAGCAGUAAGUAAUGACUACAAACACUCCAUGCAUCUACAGAUCGCUUGCGUCUCUCGCUCUGAAUCUAAUCUUCAGAUUUCUGUUGUCCACCACAAAAUAACUUGAUUAAAGAUACUAUGGGAUCUUGGAGACCUCAGAUGUAGGUGAGGAUGAGAUGCCAGAUAUGAAAUUAUGAAGGAUGAGACAUGUCUGAUGAAGAAGGCUCGGCUAGGUAUAUUAGAACAAUCCAUGUUUUAUUCUUGGCGCUACACAAGUGCAUCUCCUCUUUUACUGUAAUAGCAUGAUGCGCUAAUUUUCUUACGAGUCUGAUAAAUAUGUAUAAUUAUAUGAUUAUUGAAGCCCACAUAUAUUUUUAGGCAAUGCAGUAUGUGGUAUUGUUUUUCAUUUCUGUUUGACAAUAGUAAAAAGAAAAUCUGGUCCAAAAGUAUGUGGUAUACAGUUUAAAAAAUGGUCUGGUGGUCAGGAGUCAUGUAUGAUAUAGUUAUCAUUUCGAUGCUUAAAGCUGGUCAUUUUGUAGGAAUAUGCCUGGGUUUUUGUCAAAUGCAAGCUGCACUUUAUAUUUUUUCAAAUGGAUUUUCUUAUCAAAUAAUUGUCUCUUACGUGGAUAUACUUUGUGUUAAACCCAAGAAAUAAAAGGUGAAUUAUCCAGGAUUAUGAUCUGGUAUUACUUUGAACAUUUUGUGUUUCAUGGUAUCCUAAAAAUACGGUCUGCUUUUUAGUAUGUUAGUUGUUUAUUAGACUUCCUUCUGGUUGUUGAAAUUUAAAUGUUUGCCGUGGAAUAGGAAAUUUGAGUACAGUAGCCGUUAGCCUGAAAAUAAUAUAGUGAGCCAUAGAGAAGAUUGUUCUCUAAUUGACUGGUAUUUAUCGUGCUGAUCUCUUUUUCUCGCACCUACAAUUGUAAAAAUGCCCCUGCUGAAUAUCUUGAACGGUCCUAGAACCUUCUCACUUACAGGUCUAGUGAUCCUUGCGAACUUCUUUCCAACAUUGAAGCACAAAUUGCAAAAGCAAACGAUGAAUCCAUAACAAAGAAAGAUAUCAUGAAGAGAGUAGACAAAUGGCUAUUGGCCUGUGAUGAAGAGACUUGGCUUGAGGAGUAUAAUCAAUCCUGUUUUUUUCAAUGAAAAUAUGCUAGCACAUGGUCCAUCAGUUUAAUAUGAUUUCUCCCUUUUUCUUCUCUAUGUUGGCAUGCUUGUACUGAUAUUCAAUUUGGCUGUCAAGCUAUGAUUUAGGUAAUGUCCUCUUUAAUGUUUGCAUAUGCCCUACUGCAGGAUGAUAACAGGUACAGGCAGGGGUGCCCAUUUGAACCUCAAGCAUGCAGAGAAAGUAGGGGUACUUGUUCAAAAGAUUCCAACUAUGAUUGACAACUUGAUAGACAAGACAUUUGCCUGGGAGGAUGAAAGCAAUACACCAUUUCUUUAUGACGUGGUUCACAUGGUUGCCAUUUUGGAAGAGCAAAAACUCAGGAGAGUACAGAAAGAGGAAGAUAAGCGACGAUACCGGAUAUGAAUUCCACAUCCUCUGGCACUACACUCACAACAGAAGUCAUCAGUCUUGUUCGCUGACUCUUAACAGAGGACUAGAAGAACCUGUACAAUCUAUUGCGUAAAGAGAAUGAGAUGAUAUUUGGGUCCAAGUCUGUUCCGAGGAAGAUAAGCAGUUUUAACAGGAGGACCAGUGGCCAUCACCCAAAUGGGAACGAGGCUGGUUUCAUGACUCCGAUGCCCACACCCGAGCUUUUGACACCACGCUCGUACUCUGGAUGGUACAACAAUUACUUCAAGGAGAACCGGCGGAUGACGGCGGCACCACUCAACUUCUCAGCGGCUUCCAAGGAUGACAUGUUAUCCUUUGCCUCCAUGAGCGGCUCGGAGCCUGAUUCUCCAGUGGUUUUGCACUGAGUAUGAUAUUGCCCAACAUUUUGUCAUCCUCUGGUUCUUUUGUCAACGUAUUUUUUUGAUUUUCUGCCGCACAUGUGCCCAUGUUGUCACUGACAAUCCACUCCCGUAUGAUGCUCUACUUUUGAAACCUGCCAUCAGUUCCUUUUGAUUUACUAUUGUCUUUUGUUAUCACUGAUCUUAGUGGCAUCUAUGUUGUCACUGUUUA